CAGUAGCCGCGGUAAUACGUAGGUGGCAAGCGUUGUCCGGAAUUAUUGGGCGUAAAGGGCUCGCAGGCGGUUUCUUAAGUCUGAUGUGAAAGCCCCCGGCUCAACCGGGGAGGGUCAUUGGAAACUGGGAAACUUGAGUGCAGAAGAGGAGAGUGGAAUUCCACGUGUAGCGGUGAAAUGCGAAGAGAUGUGGAGGAACACCAGUGGCGAAGGCGACUCUCUGGUCUGUAACUGACGCUGAGGAGCGAAAGCGUGGGGAGCGAACAGGAUUAGAUACCCCCGUAGUCCCUGUCUCUUAUAA
rnacentral:rRNA from 1 species